rnacentral:rRNA from 1 species
UACGUAGGGGGCUAGCGUUGUCCGGAAUCAUUGGGCGUAAAGCGCGUGUAGGCGGUCCGGUAAGUCAGCUGUGAAAGUCGGGGGCUCAACCCUCGGAUGCCGGUGGAUACUGUCGGGCUUGAGUACGGAAGAGGCGAGUGGAAUUCCUGGUGUAGCGGUGAAAUGCGCAGAUAUCAGGAGGAACACCAAUUGCGAAGGCAGCUCGCUGGGACGUUCCUGACGCUGAGGCGCGAAAGCGUGGGGAGCAAACAGG